AAGGGGCCUUGUUCUACAAGCUUGCUUUGAGCUUCAUCGGAGUAGGGCAGGAGGCCAAAGACAGUGAGCAUGUGGACACUGAGGCUGGGCCAGCAUUUAUUACCCAUCCCUAACUGGCCGGAAAACAGUUAAGAGAAACUACAUUUUUUUGGGUCUGGGGUCACAUGUAGGCUAAAACAGCAAAGGCAAUGUACCCACGUCAAAUUUCCAAAUCAUCGAUCAAAUAGAAGUAGAACCGAACCAAAAUUAAAGGAAG